AAGUCUGGUGCCAGCAGCCGCGGUAAUUCCAGCUCCAAUAGCGUAUAUUAAAGUUGUUGCAGUUAAAAAGCUCGUAGUUGAAUUUCGGGGUUAGUAGGUUGGUCAUGCCUCCGGUAUGUACUGGUCUCACUGAUUCCUCCUUCCUUAUGAACCGUAAUGCCAUUAAUUUGGUGUUGCGGGGAAUUUGGACUGUUACUUUGAAAAAAUUAGAGUGUUUAAAGCAAGCUAACGCUUGAAUACAUUAGCAUGGAAUAAUGAAAUAGGACGUUCGAUCCUAUUUUGUUGGUUUCUAGGAUUGACGUAAUGAUUAAUAGGGAUAGUUGGGGGCAUUAGUAUUCAAUUGUCAGAGGUGAAAUUCUUGGAUUUAUUGAAGACUAACUACUGCGAAAGCAUUUGCCAAGGAUGUUUUCAUUAAUCAAGAACGAAAGUUAGGGGAUCGAAGACGAUCAGAUACCGUCGUAGUCUUAACCAUAAACUAUGCCGACUAGGGAUCGGAUGAUGUUAAUUUUUUAAUGACUCAUUCGGCGCCUUACGGGAAACCAAAGUGUUUGGGU
rnacentral:rRNA from 1 species